CCUCCUAAUCAAAUCGCCCAUCACUCGAACAAUUUCUGAUUCGGGUCGUUGGUGUGUGGUUUCUCAUUGGACUCCUCCUGAGGCUUGAUUGAGUCGACGAAGUGAGAAUAGCGAACAGUUGGAGUUGGUGAAGGAGGAGAUCCGAGUUUCAUCACUUUUCACUCAUCCUAAUCUUGCUUCCACUUCUUGAUCAUGCCAUUAUUUCUGUUAAGGGUUGAAUUAAUUUGUGGGUUAUCAUUUUGUAACUGCUUCAUGCUGCUGUAGCUUGCAUUGAGUUCAAUUAUGGAGUUUUGAAUUAUCUCAGCCUCCUUUACUUAUUCAGGUAUAAACUCUGUAUUGUUCUUUACAUGAUUUUGAUAUAGAACUAAUGUGUUUGUCGUGUUUGGACCUUAUGAUCAUUGAACUCUGCUUUUUGAAACAUGCAGUCUCAUUGAUUGUGCUUUUGGGAAAUCAAUAUUUCCCAGGUUAUUGGGUUUUGUCGUUGAAAUUUUUGGCUUUCGGUAUCUGACAAUUUGUGUCUUUUUUUAAUGUUUUGUUGGCAUGGUUUUCUGAUUUCAUUUUUUGGCUAUUUGGGAUUUGUAGGGUAGGUGGAGAUCUUCUCCUUGCAAGAAUAAAAAUAGAAGGCUUUUACUUUCUCUGUGAGUAAGUUUCAUAAUUUUUGG